rnacentral:lncRNA from 1 species
GUACAAUCGUACUUCCCUUUUCACAAGAAAUAUUCCUUAACAUUUUGUCUUUAUCUUCAGGCAACUCCCUUGUUCUUUCUCUUAGUUUUUCUUGCAAUGGACCAUCUUUAGAUGUCUGCUGGGCAUCCUUUAUGCUCAAUAGGCCAUUGACUUUCUCUGCAACCUUCUUUCUCUCUUAUACCCUUCUUGAAUAUUCAUCAAAAGACUGUUUAAUUUUGACCUAAUCUUCAUGUGCCUCUUUUGGUGAUAAAGGGGUAAGGACAUGAUUCAGACCGUCCUUACGUAAUGAAUGUCGAUUGGUGUGACUGUAAUGUUGUACUUGUCUAUCAAACUGCCAAGGUCUCCCAAGUAUCAGACGACUAGCAUGCAUAGGUACAAUAUCACAACAUACCUCAUUGUGAUAUUUUUUAUGGAGAACGGUACUAUGACUUACUCGAUAACUUUGACUUUGCACACUCAUUCAACCACUGUAACUGAUAGCGAUUUGGAUGCUUGAUGCAUGUCAACCUUGCUCUUUCCACGAAUAGAGUGCUUGCUACAUUAGCACCACUACCACUAUCAAUGAUCAUUCCACAUAUCUUAUCAUUGACAAGACAUCGCAUGUGGAAAAUGUUCUCCCUCUAUUCAUUGUCUUCACUCUUAACUUGCAUGUUGAGAGCUCUUCGAACAACAAGGACAUUACUCCUAAGUGGAGUAUCUUUGAAUGAUUGAGACAUAGUAUAGUACCUUUAAGAAAGGUUAAUGAAAAGAAUAUAUUCUCUCCCUCACCUUCGCUCGUGUUUAACUCGUAAUCCCUCAAUUGAUAGUUUUGUCUGUCGAGUUGAGUGUCCAAAAUUAGAAUCGCUUGAACCAGCACGUUAGUCUUUAUGACACAAUAAAGAACCCUAAAAGAUUCUGAUUUCUACUGAAGCUCAGAAACAAGCACACAGAAAAAGGAAUGGUGUGCUUCUUAUGUGUUAAAACCCUAGUAACAAUUUGUCGCUUAGCUAUGUAAUGGAACAAGUGUAAAAUAAAGAACAAAAUGUAGAUCACAAAGAAUGACAAUUCAGACUAAUGCAUAGGGAUUCAAUCAAUCCUUAUGAAUAUAAUUGAUAGGUAUAUCUUCCUAUACUACCCCCAAUUUUUUGGUUGUGCUCUAUGACUGAUCAAGUUUCUUUAUGCAACGUUGAUGCAGAUUACAGAAAUGUAAUUCAAAAAUUAAAUGUGGAUAGAGUGCGGAAUAGAAACAAAAGUUUUCACUCACAACAGUUAGGCAAUGUAUUUUGCCUUUGAUUUCUUAAAGGAUUUUUGGUCACCAAUUAGGCGGCUAUUCUACUUUUAUGAUGCAAAAUGCAAGCAAAGGUGCUAAUUGCCUUAUGUGGUGCAAUUGGAGUAUUUUUGGUAUUUUGAUAAUAUUUCUUUUUUUUAUUUUGAAUAAUAGUACAAACUACUUGAAUUAAAUGGAUAGAUAUGAAUUCAAGCAGGAUGCAAUACGAAUUAACAAUCAAAUAAAUUUGAAUGCUAAUUUAAAAAUAAUAUAAUAUAGCAAAUAAAGAUAGAUUUCGAUUUUCUAAGAGCCAAAGCUCUAAUACCAGAUGAUAUCAAAUUAAGCUUAGGC